UUGGUUUUGCUCAUUUUUUUACCCAGUAAUUGCUUUGUUUCAUCGAUGAUAUGUCUUGUUUGUUUUUCAAAUUUAAUUUUGCUGCCUGGUAAUUGUGUUACUGAAACUGGUAUCAAAUAAUAGUGUAAAGGUCAUGCAGAUUUUGUUGCUGUAAGCUCUUGUUCACGAAAGUUUCUAAGUUCAUUUCACUAAACAAUGAGAGAAAAACUCAGAUUCUAUUGAAGGGAAGAAUUAAAUUUCAAAUCUGCUUAUUAAAGCAAUUCAAGUUAAAGAGGAAUAGAGUAGUUUGAUAUUAUUUUAUAUUGUAACCAUAUUGAACAGUAUAUGCAUAUAUUUCUAUUGAGCUUAUGCUGUGCCUUCUGAUUUAUUGCCUAAGAAAGGAAUGGAUCGAGGCAGCCAUAGAUCAUCUUCAAAACUGCAUGUGCCUAAGGAUUCUCACGGUAUUUAUUGCCUAAUGUUCAUAUCAAUUUUGGUUUUCUUGGUCGAUCUUUGCACCCUAUAGGAAUUGAUUGUGCCCAAGCUCUCCUCAAUCAAUUUAGAAGUCAGAGACAUAAUGCGGGGAGGGGCUGAUUUUGAAUCCCCAAGAUGUUGUACCGUCCAAAGUUUUACAGCUCAAGAUCUUGUUGACAUUAUCAAGGCACAGCUCCAAAGGCCCUUUUGUUGACUAUGCUGCAUUCAAAAACAUACCCUUUUGAAGGUAUGCUAGCUGCAAAGGUUGAAUAUGAAUGCAGAAUGAGAGGAGCACAGCGAAUGGAAUUCAAUCCAAUCGUUGGUGGUGGGCUGAAUGCAAGUGUCAUACACUAUUUGGGAAAUAACCAAAAGCUUAAUUUAGUUAUCAUCACCAAAUGCUGUCUCCUAGUAUUUAUUUUUUAUUGUUCAAUUUUUAUCACAUAUUUGACAGAUUAAACAGGGAGAUCUUGUUUUGAUGGAUGUUGGAUGUGAGUUACACGGUUAUGUUAGUGUUACUCAUACCUGGCCUCC